rnacentral:rRNA from 1 species
AAUGGGGGAAACCCUGACGCAGCAACGCCGCGUGUGGGAAGAAGGCCUUCGGGUCGUAAACCACUUUUUGCAACGGGCGAAAAAGGGAUAUCGAACAAAUAUCCCCGAUGACGGUACCGUGAGAAUAAGCCACGGCUAACUCUGUGCCCAGCAGGCCGCGGUAAGACAGAGGUGGCAAGCGUUUGUUCGGAAUUACUGGGCGUAAAGAGUCNGUAGGUGGUUUGUCAAGUCUUUGGUGAAAGGCCGUAGCUUAACUAUGGGGAAUGCCAAAGAGACUGGCAGGCUGGAGGCUGGGAGAGGGAAGCGGAAUUUCUGGUGUAGCGGUGAAAUGCGUAGAUAUCAGAAGGAAGGCCGGUGGCGAAGGCGGCUUCCUGGAACAGUCCUGACACUGAGAGACGAAAGCGUGGGGGAGCAAACAGGAUUAGAUACCCUGGUAGUCCACGCCCUAAACGAUGGGUACUAAGUGUGGAG